rnacentral:rRNA from 1 species
AACGAACGCUGGCGGCAUGCCUAACACAUGCAAGUCGAACGAGACCUUCGGGUCUAGUGGCGCACGGGUGCGUAACGCGUGGGAACCUUCCCUUAUGUUCGGAAUAACUCCCCGAAAGGGGUGCUAAUACCGGAUAAUGUCUUCGGACCAAAGAUUUAUCGCCUUUGGAUGGGCCCGCGUUGGAUUAGCUAGUUGGUAGGGUAAAAGCCUACCAAGGCGACGAUCCAUAGCUGGUCUGAGAGGAUGAUCAGACACACUGGGACUGAGACACGGCGCAGACUCCUACGGGAGGCAGCAGGGGGGAAUAUUGGACGAUGGGCGAAAGCAUGAUCCAGCAAUGCCGCGUGAGUGAUGAAGGCCUUAGGGUUGUAAAGCUCUUUUACCCGGGAUGAUAAUGACAGUACCGGGAGAAUAAGCGCCGGCUAACUCCGUG